AAUGUGGUGCUUUUACAGUACCGUAAUUGGAGUGGUUCAAAUUCAAAAACUUUGAAGAGUAUCAAUUAGAGGGCAAGUCUGGUGCCAGCAGCCGCGGUAAUUCCAGCUCUAAUAGCGUAUAUUAAAGUUGCUGCAGUUAAAAAGCUCGUAGUUGGAUUUUGGAUGAGCAGUCUGGGUCUUGCUCCAGGUGAGCAAGCACUCGCUCUGUUCUUCUUUCCAUUCGAAGACGUAAGCUCCUCUUCAUUUGAGUGGGUUUACGGAUUCGGAGCCUUUACUUUGAAGAAAAUGGAGUGUUCAAAGCAGGCAGAUGCAAUUGAACAUAUUAGCAUGGAAUAAUAGAAUAGGACUCCGUCCUAUUUGUUGGUUUCUGGAUAGGAGUAAUGAUUGAUAGGGACAGUUGGGGGUGUUUGUAUUGCAUCGUUAGAGGUGAAAUUCUUGGAUCGAUGCAAGACAAACUAAUGCGAAAGCAUUCACCAAGGAUGUUUUCAUUAAUCAAGAACGAAAGUUAGGGGAUCGAAGGCGAUUAGAAACCGCCCUAGUCUUAACCAUAAACCAUGCCAACUAGGGAUUGGAGGAUGUUUUAUUAUACGACUCUUUCAGCACCUUAAGAGAAAUCAAAGUCUAUGGGUUCUGGGGGGAGUAUGGUCGCAAGGCUGAAACUUAAAGAAAUUGACGGAAGGGCACACCAGAUUGUGGAGCUUGCGGCUUAAUUUGACACAACACGGGGAAACUUACCAGGUCCAGACACAGGAAGGAUUGACAGAUUGAUAGCUCUUUCUUGAUUCUGUGGGUGGUGGUGCAUGGCCGUUGUUAGUUGGUGGAGUGAUUUGUCUGGUUAAUUCCGUUAACGAACGAGACCUUAACCUGCUAAAUAGUACACCGAAUAGACUUUUCUGUUUAUUCGGUAUUUACUUCUUAGGGGGACUAUCGUGGUUUUACGCGAUGGAAGUGUGAGGCUAUAACAGGUCCGGGAUGCCCUUAGAUGUUCUGGGCCGCACGCGCGCUACACUGAUGAAUUCAGCGAGCUUUUCCUUGGUUGAGAAACCUGGGUAAUCUUGUAAACUUCAUCGUGAUGGGGAUAGAUUAUUGCAAUUAUUGAUCUUGAACGAGGAAUAUCUAGUAAGCGCAAGUCAUCAGCUUGCGUUGACUACGUCCCUGCCCUUUGUACACACCGCCCGUCGCUCCUACCGAUCGAAAGGUCCGGUGAAAUGUCUGGACUGUGGAACUAUAGCCGAUCUUUCGGGAUGGCUAGGGUCU
rnacentral:rRNA from 1 species